AUGCAGUCAAGGCGCAGCAGCCCGUCCUCCUCGCCGAACAGCACCUUGGAGAUGUGCGAGGUGACGGGGCUGGAGGGGCGCGUGGGGUUGGCCGAGCGGAUGGGAGAGCGCAGCGGGGAGUUGAAGGCGCUGCCGAUCUCGGAGGCCGUGUCCGUGCUCUCGUUGCUGGGGGUGGGGGAGGGCUGGGAGUGGGUCUUCCUCCUCCUGCAACACACCAUUGCUGAAGGCCUGCUGGCAGCAGGGCAAGGAGGAAGAACCCACUGGACUCAUCCUUGGUCCGGCCCAACACCAGGACUUGGCUCUUUUGAGAGGAAACAGGGACCCUUCCCCAUUUUUGCUCAGUUUACACAUAUUAAGGUAAACCUCCUUUGUCAGGUCAGUCUUUAUUCACCCUCUCCCCUCCCAGCCUGGAUUAGUGCUGGGUCAGGCUGGCUGCAAGGCAGGGCUAGGCUUAGGCCAGCUGACAGCUGCGGUCCCACAGAGGGGAGGGACUGCGGGCAAAGAGCUCAGCUUGAAUCAGGCAUGCUGCUAGCCUGGUGCUCCAGCCUACCUGCAUGGGGGACUUGGCAUAGUUGUGGUUAUCCAGGAAGGCUGGCAGUCUCUGCACAAUGGGGUUGGGGUUUGCUGGAGGGGCCCCAUUGAUGCUGCUCGCCGCUGUCUUUGGCACUGGUUUGGAUUUGCUGGGUGGGCUCUGCGUGGCCGUGGGGUGGCCCUGGCUGGUGGGUUCAUCGGUGCCAUCUGCCACACAAGCGCAGCACAGCCUUUUAUCACCAUCACCUUUUACUUCAUGUCCUCUACCACCCCUCACCCAGGUGAGAGAAGAGCUCUUGCACUCUCCCAGACCACCACAACCACCUCCAUCUGUCACAGGUGUCCCCCAGCUGCAGCCCUCCCACUUUCAAGCUUCACACCCUCCAACACAGCCCCAGACACACAGGCAUCACCAUACCCCAGCACAGUGCAUAUGGAGCAGGGCUCACAGAAAAGAAAGUGAAGCUGACAAUAAAACUACCCCAAGCCCCA
rnacentral:lncRNA from 1 species